rnacentral:SRP_RNA from 1 species
ACUGGGCGUGGUGGCACGUGCCUGUAGUCCCAGCUACUCGGGAGGCUGAGAUGGGAGGAUCGCUUGAGCCCAGGAGUUCUAGGCUGUAGUGCACUAUGCUGAUUGGGUGUCUGCACCAAGUUUGGCAUCAAUAUGGUGACCUCCUGGGAGCCGGGGACCACCAGGUUGCCUAAGGAGGGGUGAAGCAGCCCAGGUCAGAAACGGAGCAGGUCACAACUCCCGUGCUGAUCAGUAGUGGGAUCGCGCCUGUGAACAGCCACUGCACUCCAGCCUGGGCAACACAGUGAGACCCCAUCUCU